rnacentral:lncRNA from 1 species
CGUCCCGUUCGUGAUGCGCUGCGGGAAGGCGCUGAACGAGCGCAAGGCCGAGGUGCGGCUGCAGUUCCGCGAGGUGCCCGGGGACAUUUUCGGGCGGCGCUGCAAACGCAACGAGCUGGUGGUGCGCGUGCAGCCCGACGAGGCCGUCUACACCAAGCUGAUGACCAAAAAACCCGGAAUGUUCCUCAGCCCCGAGGAGUCCGAGCUCGACCUCACCUACGGCAGCCGAUACAAGGUCUGGGGGCCCGAAAUUUAAUGGGGGAGAUUUGGGGAUUUGGGGAGGUGGGAGAAGCUAAAAGCGUUGGGAGGUUGGGGUUGAGUGGGUGUGGAGAACCCAAAACUGUUGGGGAGAUGGGGGCCAAAUGGGUAUGGAGACCCCAAAAAUGUUGGGAGGUGGAGAGGAAUGGGUAUGGAGACCCCAAAAAUGUUGGGGAGAUUGGGGCUGAAUGGGUGUGAAGAACCUAAAAUAGUUGGGGAAGGUUGGGGUGGAAUGGGCGUGGAGACCCCAAAAAUGUUGGGAGGUGGAGAGGAAUGGGUGUGGAGACCCCAAAAUCCUUGGGGAAGGUUACAGGAGAUGGGGUUCAAAUGGGUAUGGAGAACCCAAAAAUGUUGGGGAGAUUGGGGCUGAAUGGGUGUGGAGAACCCAAAAAUGUUGGGGAGAUGGGGGCUGAAUGGGCGUGGAGAACCCAAAAUUGUUGGGAGAUGGAGAGGAAUGGGUGUGGAGAACCCAAAAUCCUUGGGGAAGGUUACAGGAGAUGGGGGUUCAAAUGGGUAUGGAGAACCCAAAAAUGUUGGGAGAUGGGGGCCAAAUGGGUGUGAAGAACCUAAAAGUGUUGGGAGGUUGGGGUUGAAUGGGUGUGAAGAACCUAAAAGUGUUGGGAGGUUGGGGUUGAAUGGGCGUGGAGACCCCAAAAAUGUUGGGAGAUGGAGAGGGAUGGGUAUGGAGACCCCAAAAAUGUCGGGGAGAUUGGGGCUGAAUGGGUGUGGAGAACCCAAAAUCGUUGGGGAAGGUUGGGGUGGAAUGGGUGUGGAGACCCCAAAAAUGUUGGGGAAGGUUGCAGGAGAAGGGGUUCAAAUGGGUGUGGAGAACCCAAAAAUGUUGGGAGAUGGAGAGGAAUGGGUAUGGACACCCCAAAAAUGUUGGGGAGGUUGGGGCCGAAUGGGUGUGGAGACCCCAAAAUCCUUGGGGAAGGUUGGGGAGAUGGGGUCCAAGGGGUAUUGAGACCCAAAAAUCCUCCUCUUAUGGGAGACGAGGCCCCAGUAGGAUAUGGAGACCCCAAAACCCCAUUAAAUUUUAUGGGAUUUGGGGCACCAAAUGGGUAUGGAGACCCCAAAACCCUCCAGUAAAGCGUUAGGGGAGAGGAGGCUCCCAAUGGGAGACCCCAAA